UUCAAAGCAAUUCUCUAUUUAUGUGCAAUAAAUAAACUUUAUCGGAUGUUGUUAUCUUCGAUCUACCUCUCCUCCUAACCCUAACCGGGGGGGGAAGGGAAACUGUAUCGGGGCUUUAACACUAUCUGAAUAAAACUCGCUAUUCUUGUCUCCUACUGCUUACCGUACAGUGUUGGCGAUUGCUUUGUACUGACUCUCUUUAGUGAGUUUAUCAGUGCAGAUGUAUUGAGAUAAAAACGCAUUUUAAUCAACACCGUGGAUCUCGUUACUUAAUGGUAAAGGGUGUGUGAGGUGGUGCAGUCACUAGCUGAUGGAGCUGCAAUUCAUACUUACCUGGCAGGAGAGAUACCAUGAUCAAGAAGGUGGUUCACCCAGGGUGUUAACUGAGUAAAGUUUCAAGAAGUACAGGCCUUCACAGAUAUCAGUGCAACUGACAAUAAGUUUACUAGAAGACCCCAAGGACAACAGGUUGGUUUUCCUGGACUGUGCAAGAAAUUGAAGACACACACACACACCAAUGUCUUUUGAUUCUCACCAGCCAACACAAAUUAGGAGACAUCAGGACACUGAUGUCAGGACACUGAGGUCUCAACUGAUAUUCACUGUACUAAAGUUAGAAAUUAUUCUAUUGCAUUUGUAGGAUUUGUGUAUGUUGUUUGUAGCUCAUGGAGAUAGUGGCUUGUUUCUAGAUUUGGAAGCUCUUAAUAAGGAAAUUAAAAAUUUACCCAUGCUUUUUUUUUUCGCUUAAAGGUGAAGACCCUUAAGUAUGUUUUGUAAGAUUCCCUUAUCUGUCAAACAUAUUUUAUUAGAUUGUCCUGGACUUAAUACAAGCAGAAUGCUCGUAUGAAGUUUCUUCAAUUAAGGACAUUUAAUGACAAGCCUGAAAAGGUUUUGGAUCUUUUUAUCGUAUGUUAAUUAAAAAAAUUAAAUAAAUCAUAUAUGACUUGCUGUUUA